rnacentral:rRNA from 1 species
CGUUGCCCAGACAACUAGGAUGUUGGCUUAGAAGCAGCCAUCAUUUAAAGAGUGCGUAAUAGCUCACUAGUCGAGUGACACUGCGCCGAAAAUGUACCGGGGCUAAACAUAUUACCGAAGCUGUGGAUUGUCCUUUGGACAAUGGUAGGAGAGCGUUCUAAGGGCGUUGAAGCAUGAUCGUAAGGACAUGUGGAGCGCUUAGAAGUGAGAAUGCCGGUGUGAGUAGCGAAAGACGGGUGAGAAUCCCGUCCACCGAUUGACUAAGGUUUCCAGAGGAAGGCUCGUCCGCUCUGGGUUAGUCGGGUCCUAAGCUGAGGCCGACAGGCGUAGGCGAUGGAUAACAGGUUGAUAUUCCUGUACCACCUAUAAUCGUUUUAAUCGAUGGGGGGACGCAGUAGGAUAGGCGAAGCGUGCGAUUGGAUUGCACGUCUAAGCAGUAAGGCUGAGUAUUAGGCAAAUCCGGUACUCGUUAAGGCUGAGC